AGUGAACGCUGGCGGCAUGCCUAACACAUGCAAGUCGAACGGUAACACACUAAGAGCUUGCUCUUACGGGCGGCCGGUGGCGGACGGCAGAGGAAUGUAUCGGAAUCUAGUUUUUCGUGGGGGAUAACGUAGGGAAACAUACGCUAAUACCGCAGACGACCUACGGGUGACAGCACGGGAUCUUCGGACCUUGCGCGAUUGAAUGAGCCGAUGUCGGAUUAGCUAGUUGGCGGGGUAAAGGCCCACCAAGGCGACGAUCCGUAGCUGGUCUGAGAGGAUGAUCAGCCACACUGGAACUGAGACACGGUCCAGACUCCUACGGGAGGCAGCAGUGGGGAAUAUUGGACAAUGGGCGCAAGCCUGAUCCAGCCAUACCGCGUGGGUGAAGAAGGCCUUCGGGUUGUAAAGCCCUUUUGUUGGGAAAGAAACGCAGCAGGUUAAUACCCCGCUGUUCUGACGGUACCCGAAGAAUAAGCACCGGCUAACUUCGUG
rnacentral:rRNA from 1 species